AUCAAUAUAAUGUAAUAUUGAUUUUCGGAAGCCAUUUUACUACACAAGACAUAAUACCAAAUGACUUCGGAAAAAUCCAGAAAAUCCACGUAAGAGAAAUAAACAAGAAGGACUCAAAUAAAAUGCUACCAACGAGUAAAAUGAACUCAGGAAAUUACAGAACUUAUAUUCCUCCUGUCAUAUGCUAAAUCAAUUCCCAACUCCUUGGUAUUAAUUUGAGCAACUCCAAAUAAAAUACAUUACUCAUAUAAGCUUAUGUUGCAACAUCCUUAGCUUUAGAGAAAAAUUAACUCCCGGAAAAAAAAUCAGGACGUCACAAGUCGAAGUAGAAGUAGCAACCACUCCAUGUCAUGAACCUUCUCCAUCUGAUUCAGUAAGGGAGAAUUAGCAUCCUUCUCGAAUGGCUACAAAGGGUACCGUUUAUAGUUUAGUGUGUUCUAUUAAUAACUGAAUUUGAAAUGACACAAGGCAUCCUCAAGUAUCCAUAGUAUUGAAGUUGCUAUACAAAAGCAACACGCCACAUACCCAAUAGAAAUUUCUGGGAGGGGGCGAAGUAGUAGCUAAAAGGAAGAAGAGUAGUACGGGAGUGACUUACAUCUACUUCUGCCCUAGAAGGUUAGUUUCUUAGUCGCCAAGCCUUUUUCCUUCUCAUUGUAGAAAUGAGCAUUUUCCCUCUAGUGUUUUCCUUCCGUAGCGUGGAGGCCUAUCACGGGGAGCAUACCGACGGCGUCCAGAUCCAAUUUGCAGCCGGCUCAAAGCUUCUCUCUCUCUCUCUCUCUUUGUGCGUGUGUGCGUGUGCGUGUGUGUGUGUGUGUGUGUGUGUGUGUGUGUGAACAAUUGCAUUCUGCUGACGAGGACGGAUUGCAGCCAGGCACACGACGCCGAGAUUAGUGUGGCUAUCUAACGGUCCUAGAGGCGUUCGCACGGGUUUGCUAAAAAUCUGACGUCAGAUUUCUAAUGAUUUUGUUUAUUUAUCAUAUUGAAAGGAGUACAAGGAUCAGCCAGCUAGUUUUUAUCAUACAUAAUGUUAUUUCUUAAUUUCCAAAUAGUCCAUAAAAUGGCAGAGAUCCCUACCACAAGUCCACAACUAGAAUGUUUUCACUCUUAUACUAAAUCUCAACAGCCAAGUGUUGAACAGGCCGUGUACAAUAUCUCAGGCCAUUCGGACGUCAAGAGGAGGCAUUCGGACAACGAUCUCGGCACGCCUGGGCUCCGCGGCGCGUGGCGGCUGCACGUGGCCGCCGGUGAUGCAGCAGUACACCAGCAGCGCAACGGCGGCGACCGCGAGAGCCGACACGCCGACCGCUAUCCAGGCUUUCUCUUCUCCGGUGAGGCCGUGGGCCGGCUCCGGCUGGUGGGUGGAGUGAGGGGGUGGGGGCGGCGGCGGCAGGAGCUGGAAGACCACGUCCGACGGCAGCACCUCGGCUGCGGCGUUGCCGAGCAGCAGGAGCAGGAUGCACAGACGACCCAUCGCCGACACCGCACUGAGCCCCACCUCCAUGACGCUGCUUCUCCCUAGCUAACAAGGAUCAGUCGAGUUGUGUUGCUGAGCUACAGAGUCGGGGGAAGGAGAAGAAGGGUAUAAGAAGGAUCACUCGAGUUGUAUUGCUCAGGUGCAGAGUCAGGGGAAGGAGAAGAAGGGUAUAUAUAGAAGGGGGAAGCGACCAGAUAGAAACAGGGCCUCAACCUGAGCCGUUGGAUUAGGUUGGAUGACACAGAUCUUGGUGGAGGAAUCUGCACGCAUAAUUAUUUUGUGAAGAGAAAAGGCUCACCCUUGCUGUGAUCAUUUACUCACUUGCUGAAACUAUUGUAUGAAAACAUGACUCUUUUUAAGUAAAUAGAAGAUUUUUAUUCUCUUAUUAAUUGUUGGCCCUAGAUGAUAACAACUACUCCAAUUUAUAACUGACAUGUCUAUUCAUGCGAACAAGCAUGCUCAUACUAAAUAUUUGUUCAUCAAGUACUACAGUAAUUAUGCCAAAAUAGUGGUAUAACAAAAUAGCCAGAUUCUGAAGCUUCUCCCUUUUCUCAAACUGUACAAUGUCAAUAUGCAUACUUCGAGAAGCAAAGCGCGUAGAACCGUGUUGUGGAAAAUAAAACUCAGGGUGUAGAGGCAAUAGCAUGUAUCAAAAUGUGUGAAAUAUAGGAUCCGUGCUGAACUGGAAAGGAAAUAGCAUUACCAUGGUGGAAGAACUGUAGGAGGGGCAGUGCAACACUGGUCAGAAAACCAAAGAAAGAAACAUAUUCACAUAUCACCAGAAUUACCCACCUGAUGCGGCCGGGCCGUUAAUACGACGCACGUCAUUACAUCUAGAGAAGAUCCCCGACCCCCGCCCUAGCGCCGUCUCCCCGGGAGGCGGCCGGGGUGGCGCUCGCUCCCCCUCCCAUCCGUCCCCCUCCUCCUCUCACUCCCCUCCGCCGCAGCUGGCGGGCGCCCCCGGAUCUGGCCCGGGUGGUGUCGGCGAUCAUCUGUACCCGCGCGCGGGGCCCUCUUUUCCGGGACAAGGGGUCGGUGGUGGUGAGGCUCGGCUGACGGCGGUCCNN
rnacentral:lncRNA from 1 species